rnacentral:rRNA from 1 species
ACGGGUGAGUAACACGUGGGUAAUCUGCCCUCCAGUCGGGGAUAGCCUGUGGAAACACAGGAUAAUACCGGAUGCGAUGGUCUGACACAAGUUGGAUUAGGAAAGGGGCCAAGGCCCCGCUGGAGGAUGAGCCCGCGUCCCAUUAGCUAGAUGGCAGGGUAAAGGCCUACCAUGGCGAUGAUGGGUAGCCGGCCUGAGAGGGUGAACGGCCACAUUGGAACUGAGACACGGUCCAGACUCCUACGGGAGGCAGCAGCUAAGAAUCUUCCACAAUGGACGGAAGUCUGAUGGAGCGACGCCGCGUGCGCGAUGAAGGCCGUGAGGUUGUAAAGCGCUUUUCUUGAGGGGGAACAACACAUCCAGGGAAUGGGAUGUGGAUGACGUGAAUCGAGGAAUAAGCCCCGGCUAACUACGUGCCAGCAGCCGCGGUAACACGUAGGGGGCGAGCGUUGUUCGGAAUCAUUGGGCGUAAAGGGCGCGCAGGCGGCCCGGUAAGUCUGGUGUAAAAUGGUCGUGCUCAACACGAUCAUGCGCUGGAAACUGUCGGGCUAGAGUCAACGAGGGGAUGCCGGAAUUCCAGGUGUAGGGGUGAAAUCUGUAGAUAUCUGGAAGAACACCGAUGGCGAAGGCAGGCAUCUGGCGACUGACUGACGCUGAGGCGCGAAGGUGCGGGGAGCAAACAGGUUUAGAUACCCUGGUAGUCCGCACAGUAAACGAUGUGCACCAGGUGGCGGGCAGCAGUGCUCGGUACCGAAGCAAACGCAUUAAGUGCACCGCCUGGGGAGUAUGCCCGCAAGGGUGAAACUCAAAGGAAUUGACGG